rnacentral:rRNA from 1 species
UGGAAGUAAAAAGUCGUAACAAGGUCUCCGUUGGUGAACCAGCGGAGGGAUCAUUGCUGGACGCGCCCCGGCGCACCCAGAAACCCUUUGUGAACUUAUACCUACUGUUGCCUCGGCGCAGGCCGGCUUUUUUUGAGAAAAAGCCCCCUGGAGACAGGGAGCAGCCCGCCGGCGGCCAACCAAACUCUUGUUUCUAUAGUGAAUCUCUGAGUAAAAACAUAAAUGAAUCAAAACUUUCAACAACGGAUCUCUUGGUUCUGGCAUCGAUGAAGAACGCAGCGAAAUGCGAUAAGUAAUGUGAAUUGCAGAAUUCAGUGAAUCAUCGAAUCUUUGAACGCACAUUGCGCCCUCUGGUAUUCCGGAGGGCAUGCCUGUUCGAGCGUCAUUUCAACCCUCAAGCCUGGCUUGGUGAUGGGGCACUGCUCUCCCACGAGAGCAGGCCCUGAAAUCUAGUGGCGAGCUCGCCAGGACCCCGAGCGUAGUAGUUACAUCUCGCUCUGGAAGGCCCUGGCGGUGCCCUGCCGUUAAACCCCCAACUUCUGAAAAUUUGACCUCGGAUCAGAGAUAGGAAAUACCCGCUGAACUUAAGCAUAUCAAUAAGUCGGAGGAA